rnacentral:rRNA from 1 species
UGGGGAAUAUUGGACAAUGGGGGCAACCCUGAUCCAGCAAUGCCGCGUGUGUGAAGAAGGUCUUCGGAUUGUAAAGCACUUUCGACGGGGACGAUGAUGACGGUACCCGUAGAAGAAGCCCCGGCUAACUUCGUGCCAGCAGCCGCGGUAAUACGAAGGGGGCUAGCGUUGCUCGGAAUGACUGGGCGUAAAGGGCGUGUAGGCGGUUUACACAGUCAGAUGUGAAAAUCCCCCGGGCUUAACCUGGGAGCUGCAUUUGAUACGUGUAGACUAGAGUGUGAGAGAGGGUUGUGGAAUUCCCAGUGUAGAGGUGAAAUUCGUAGAUAUUGGGAAGAACACCGGUGGCGAAGGCGGCAACCUGGCUCAUGACUGACGCUGAGGCGCGAAAGCGUGGGGAGCAAACAGGAUUAGAUACCCUGGUAGUCCACGCUGUAAAACGAUGUGUGCUAGAUGUUGGGUAACUUUGUUAUUCAGUGUCGCAGUUAACGCGUUAAGCACACCGCCUGGGGAGUACGGCCGCAAGGUUGAAAAC